UCAUAUUUGACAUUUUUAUUAUUACACGAAAUCAAAGUUGCAUAGUCAAAAAGGGUGAAACUAAGAUUCUUUCUAUCAAUUAGUUAAGCCCAACAAGAGAUGAGAUAAGCCCAAUACACAAACAAACAAAGAAACCCUAAUGCCAUAACCCUAAUAUAAAAGGUAAAUUUCCAAAACACUAAUAUCUACUUCAGCCGUUCAUUUCAAUUUCCCUCAUUCAAAUUUUUCCAAACUUCUUCUCCUUUCUUUUCACAGCCGAAGGUUUCUAGGGUUAUUCAAAGUUUCUUUCUUUUUCUUCAACCUUACAGUCGCACCUCUACAAUGGUUUCUAGGGUUAGGGUUCACUCAAGAUGUCAACUUCUCUUCUUCUUCUUGCUACCGAUUGUGGUAAUGGUGGCGCCGUUAAAGAAUGUUUGGCUAUUCACACUAAAUCUCACAGAUUGCAGUGAGAACUUUGCAGAUUUAAUCAGAUUAUAAGGCUUCAAGAAUGAGUGGAAAUUAAUUUGGAAGCGGCAGCACACAAAGUUUUUGUUUUGUAUAAUUGUUGCGAAAAUGUUUAAUUUUUCAUAUAUAACAUGUGUAAAUGAAUGGGUGCUUCUGUGAAUAGGUAUCUACCGAUUCUGAAUAAUUAUGUUGUUUUGUAUAA